UACGAGGGGGGCGAGCGUUGUUCGGAAUUAUUGGGCGUAAAGGGUGCGUAGGCGGUUCCGCAAGUCCUGUGUGAAAUCUUCGGGCUCAACUCGAAGUCUGCACGGGAAACUGCGGGGCUUGAGUGUGGGAGAGGUGAGUGGAAUUCCCGGUGUAGCGGUGAAAUGCGCAGAUAUCAGGAGGAACACCGAUGGCGAAGGCAGGUCUCUGGGCCACUACUGACGCUGAGAAGCGAAAGCGUGGGGAGCGAACAGG
rnacentral:rRNA from 1 species